CAGAGCUAUUAAUAAAAAAGAAACCAAGUUUCCAGAACAGUCCUUCCUACUGAGAGGCUACUUCUUGUAGAAUUGGCCCCAUGCCUGCAAGGACAAAAUAAUUUAAGCUUGGAAUUUACUGUGUGAUAUGAGCAAAAGACUUCUAUCUGCUCGAUUCUUAGUACAAGGUGUAACCAAAGGAUGUGAUUAAAAAAGAGCUUGACUGAAAAAAAUUCUGAAAUGUUUUAAUUCAUAUCGUACAUACUUUUAAAAAAGGCGGAAACAUUUAGGGUAACACCACUGAUGUGUAAGAAUCUUGAGCCACAGGACCUUGAAAAUCAGUCUGAAAAUGUUUUGCUUUCACAUUGUCUUUUUCAUGGCUGCUUGUGUCAUGCUGAAGAGAUAAGCUUCGUAGAUUAUAUUCAAGAAGUUGUCAUCGUUCUGGAAAACAAAAUCAAAAGACCCAAGGGAAUGUGAUUUGGCUGGCAGGAACCAAAGGCUUCCUCUGUCUUGGAGCUAAACUGGCAUUCUGACACUCAGACGCUCCUCUCUGCCUGUCUGCUCCAACGGCUGGUGGUUUUUCACUGCACACGAGAGUGUUAAGUGGGACUGGAGGCCUGACCGAGUCAGCUGCUGGUGUCCAACAGUCAUAUGAGAAGUAGCAAGUGCUCAUUACCUACAGCAUGGAUGGGCAGCCCAGCCACAUGGCAGUAUGGGAUGAGGGUCACUCAAAAAAAGCCCGGGUCUGUUUCAGGAAAAGAUACAGGUCCUAACAGAAGGCUGGAAUGGGAGGCAAUGAUCCAGUGGCAACCAACAGGUCAGCAGGGAAAGGGAAGAAGAGAGACGACGUGACUCUCCUACCUGAAUGAGGUACAGCAGUGCUUCCUGAAGCUGGAGCUUGGUAAGUGGGCUGCUGGUGACUGCAGGGGGUUCUGGGGUCUGCAGAGGCAGGAGGAGGCUGGUGGAAGUGGCAGCUGGUUCUUGGCUUCCCAGAGGCAGGAGCCCACUGUCCCUCUCCUUUGGUGGGGCACAGGUGGGUUGUGUGAACACCAUAGGGGACAUGAGCAGAGAAGGAGCCACUGUAGCAAGGACGCGCGGAGGUGAGAUGGCCUG